rnacentral:rRNA from 1 species
GUGCCAGCAGCCGCGGUAAUACGAAGGGUGCAAGCGUUACUCGGAAUUACUGGGCGUAAAGCGUGCGUAGGUGGUCGUUUAAGUCCGUUGUGAAAGCCCUGGGCUCAACCUGGGAACUGCAGUGGAUACUGGGCGACUAGAGUGUGGUAGAGGGUAGCGGAAUUCCUGGUGUAGCAGUGAAAUGCGUAGAGAUCAGGAGGAACAUCCAUGGCGAAGGCAGCUACCUGGACCAACACUGACACUGAGGCACGAAAGCGUGGGGAGCAAACAGGAUUAGAUACCCUGGUAGUCCACGCCCUAAACGAUGCGAACUGGAUGUUGGGUGCAAUUUGGCACGCAGUAUCGAAGCUAACGCGUUAAGUUCGCCGCCUGGGGAGUACGGUCGCAAGACUGAAACUCAAAGGAAUUGACGGGGGCCCGCACAAGCGGUGGAGUAUGUGGUUUAAUUCGAUGCAACGCGAAGAACCUUACCAGG